AGAUUGAACGCUGGCGGCAGGCCUAACACAUGCAAGUCGAGCGGAUGAGAAGAGCUUGCUCUUCGAUUCAGCGGCGGACGGGUGAGUAAUGCCUAGGAAUCUGCCUGGUAGUGGGGGACAACGUUUCGAAAGGAACGCUAAUACCGCAUACGUCCUACGGGAGAAAGCAGGGGACCUUCGGGCCUUGCGCUAUCAGAUGAGCCUAGGUCGGAUUAGCUAGUUGGUGAGGUAAUGGCUCACCAAGGCGACGAUCCGUAACUGGUCUGAGAGGAUGAUCAGUCACACUGGAACUGAGACACGGUCCAGACUCCUACGGGAGGCAGCAGUGGGGAAUAUUGGACAAUGGGCGAAAGCCUGAUCCAGCCAUGCCGCGUGUGUGAAGAAGGUCUUCGGAUUGUAAAGCACUUUAAGUUGGGAGGAAGGGCAG
rnacentral:rRNA from 1 species